UGAGAUGUUGGGUUAAGUCCCGCAACGAGCGCAACCCUCGCCCUUAGUUGCCAUCAUUUAGUUGGGCACUCUAAGGGGACUGCCGGUGAUGAGCCGCGAGGAAGGUGGGGAUGACGUCAAGUCCUCAUGGCCCUUACGGGCUGGGCUACACACGUGCUACAAUGGCGGUGACAAUGGGACGCAAUGGAGCAAUCCUGCGCAAAUCUCAAAAAGCCGUCUCAGUUCGGAUUGGGGUCUGCAACUCGACCCCAUGAAGUCGGAAUCGCUAGUAAUCGCAGAUCAGCACGCUGCGGUGAAUACGUUCCCGGGCCUUGUACACACCGCCCGUCACACCAUGGGAGUUGGCUUUACCUGAAGCCGGUGCGCUAACCGCAAGGAGGCAGGCGACCACGGUAGGGUCAGCGACUGGGGUGAAGUCGUAACAAGGUAA
rnacentral:rRNA from 1 species